GACGUAGGGGGCCAGCGUUGUUCGGAAUUACUGGGUGUAAAGGGUUCGUAGGCGGUGUGGCAAGUUGGGAGUGAAAUCUCUGGGCUCAACCCGGAGGCUGCUUCCAAAACUGCUGUGCUUGAGUGUGGGAGAGGCGCGUGGAAUUGCAGGUGUAGCGGUGAAAUGCGUAGAUAUCGGGAGGAACACCAGAUGCGAAGGCGGGUCACUGGGCUGAUACUGACGCUGAAGUGCGAAAGCCAGGGGAGCGAACGGG
rnacentral:rRNA from 1 species